CUUCUUUCUCCUACCCUCCCCCCUGCCGCACGCCUCUCGGCCCUCUCUUCCCCGGUCCCCUCCCCGGGCCGUUUUUCCCGGCCCGCCCGGUGCAUUGUGGGCUGACGUCUUGGGGUUUGACUGUCUAGUGACGGUGGCUGCCGCGAGCGGGCGGACGCUCGCAACCUCUGAUGGAGGGGGGCUCAAGUUCACGGCUGCGGACGGGGAUGCGGGGGAUGCAGGGACCCGGGAGGCCAGGGAACCUGGCCAGUUGUUUUGGGCCAGGGGUGCGGGCGAGGGGUGGUUGUUGUUUCCCCACUUGUGGGGCCCGAAGUCAUCCACCGGCGGCCGCCACCGCGCGGGGCUGGAGGCUGAGAAUCCAAGUACGCUGCCACCCCCCCGCACUUCCGGGGGGGCGGGAAUACCGCCCUUAAGGUGGCUCUGUGAAGUCCCAGGUGGGGGCGAGCCUAAGGGGACUUAAGUUUAGGGGCGGUCUCCCGAGAGUCGGCCCCCCACGUUGAGAACACUCCGAAGUUUGCAUCUCGGUCAAGUUCAGGAGCGACGGUCCGCGGGGUCGUCUGGCUGCUCGUAGAAGCCGAGAGAUUUGUAUUGCCCGAAACUGGACGCUCAGCUGAGUCUCCGUUGCACCCCACUUCAUCCUCCGGGACCGUGGGGGAAAGGGCGCGGGGGUUCACAGCUUUGCCUCGGAGGGGCAGUUUUUAUAGUGGGCGCAAUUGGUGGGUAACAGGGUCCAGAUGGGAACAAGCGUGUAGGCGAUCCGAAACUCGGGGAACCCCGGUGUUAGUCUACUCCCCCUCCCGCCCCCGGACAACACGCACACGCUUAACACAACACGCACAACAUAACGCGCGCGCGCGCGCACACACACACUCCAUCCGCGCCGAGUUGCUUCCGGGAAAACAAGCCCAGAAGGCGGCGGACACUCGCAUAAAGUCACGCAGUAGUACUCGGAGCCCGGGGUAGAACCUGGACUUCAAAUCUCUGCACUCCCGGCCGGGUGGUGGGCGCAUAUCCUGGGUAGCCUCUAGGAAGCGCUAGACACAUCCCCAGGAAGCAGGCCUAAGUACUCUCAUUUCAUCACUGAGGAGCCUGAGACGUUCAGUCAUUGAUUGGACAGCCCUCACCAUUCAAGCCCUCCUUGGUUUACAGCAGCAGAAAGAGAGGCUCUGAAGGUUCUAGCCAGAGGAAGCUGCAGCCAGGCCUGGCAGUCUCCCCUGCUCCCUUCCACCAGCUUGGUUCCUGUUUCUGCUGGUCCUGGGAGCCCCCAGCAGAUGGACUGCCCUUAUCAGCCGGCUCCAGGCCAGAGGAGGAAUCCUCCGGUCACGUGUGGCUCUCUGGAGGGAGAGAGACCUCAUAAAUACAUACAGCCCACGCAGAGGAAGGGGGGAGGGUCAAGGGGAAAGAAACCUUGACAUUCUGGCGACUGGGCCAGGAUUAAAGUCCACCAGGCAUAGUCCUUAUUGGCUAUUUCUAUGAGGAAUCUCAAAUCCACAUGGCUUCCCUGGAUGACAACGCUGACUUUGACUAGCCCUGGGAUCUGGGGCAUUCCCAGUGUGCUGCUGGCUUGAUCCAGGCCUAAUCCUUUGCCCAGGACUGACCUUUCACAGUUUACAGAGCACUUUAUCUCCUGGCUCAGUGAAGUCUCACAGAACCCUCCAGAGAGAAGGGAGUUUAUCAUCACCCUCAAUUUACAGAUGAGGAAGCUGAGGCUGCGAUUGUAACUGACUGACUGCUGGCUACGCAGCUACAAGUGACCGAGUCCAGCCUGAAAGCCACAUAUAUUCUCCCACAAAAUCCAGAGCUGCCAAACACAUCCUCCUCCAUGAGUCUUGCUUUGUGCCCAUCACUGAGCUCCAUGCCCCGGGCGAGCCAUCGUUCCUGCCUGGCGAAGUCCACAAUCCAAUAAGGAGGGAAGGUUGAAGGGAUGAAUCUCAACAGAAUUGUGCACAGUGAAAGAAGCCAAUGAAAGAAGAGUACAUAUUGUAUAAUUCCAUUUAUAGAAAACUCUAGAAAAUGCAAGCUGAUCUACAGUGACAGAAAGCAGAUCCAUGGUUGUUUGGGGAAGUGAGGCAGAAGGAAAGGAUUCAGAGAAGCACAAGGAACCUUUUAGGGUGGUAGACAUGCUUACUAUCUGGUACUGAGAGUUUCUCAUGUCUGCACGUAUCUAAUUGUACACUUUAAAUACACACAGUUUAUUGUAUGUCAAUUAUAUCUCCAUAAAGCUAUUUAAAAAGAGGAACGUAAGUGGGGAAAAGAAUGAAGGAAGUUGGCUGGCGUAUAAUUAAGUAAGUCUGUGAGCAGUCUUAAAGUGGGGACACAAAGUACCAUGGGCACGUAAGAGAAGAAGGUAGAGAUUCAUUCCCAAACGGAAGAGAUCAGGAAGGAGUUCUUAGAACAGGGUUUCAACAAAGCUCAAGGUAUGGAUAAGUAAGGGUCAGGUUAAGAAAGAUUCAGAUGGAAGAUACAGAUAGAGUUUAUUUGGGAAAUAGAGAGUGGAGUAUUAUACACACGCACAAUUCGCCUUUUUACCCAAGUUUUGAAGGACUGAAGUUAAAACUAACAGCAACUAUCCUCUCUUUUCUUCAGAAAUUCAGACACAUGCCCUACUUGGCAGGCAGCUAGUUUUGCUAAUAAGAUUCCUGCCCUUCUCCCUCCCUCUCUGUGCAUCUCAUCCCUUCGGUCCCGCUGAGGCCCCUACCCUCUCGGAUUUCCUCUUUGAACUGAACUGCCAAAUACUUGCCAGCUUCCAGGGCCCUGAGUACCCACAUUUCAGCCUCUUCCAAACCCCAGAGUAAGAAGGAGAUUUGGGGAGUUCUGGGUGGGCAUGUGAUGGGAGACUAGGUCCAACAUAAAAAGAUAUUUCCCUUUUUCUUCCAUACUUUUUGGCUUAGUAAUUGACAUGUGACCAUUGGAGAAUUUUGAAUAGUUUAUUAGAAUACAUUGUGAUAGAGAAGAAGGAAAUUCAAGAAUUGUUACAAUGUUGUACACUGAUUAACUGGCUAAUUUGCUGCAAAACCAAUUCUGAUCACUGCUCUUAUGGUUUGUAAUACAUUAUUUUGGGUUUGGAUGAUCCUGUUAUUCAUAGCUUUACAUAAAGAAAUAUUCCAAUGACAUAUGAAACCCAUAUAUGAAAUUGUGGGUUAGCUCUUGCUUUCAAUUUUGUAUUAUGUUUGUUGAUUUUAAACUGUCUCCUUUCAAAAGUUUCCUUAUUAAUUAAAUAAACCACUCAGCCACAUUCCCCUCAUCUAA
rnacentral:lncRNA from 10 species